UACGUAGGUGGCAAGCGUUGUCCGGAAUUAUUGGGCGUAAAGCGCGCGCAGGCGGUCCUUUAAGUCUGAUGUGAAAGCCCACGGCUCAACCGUGGAGGGUCAUUGGAAACUGGGGGACUUGAGUACAGAAGAGAAGAGUGGAAUUCCACGUGUAGCGGUGAAAUGCGUAGAGAUGUGGAGGAAAACCAGUGGCGAAGGCGACUCUUUGGUCUGUAACUGACGCUGAGGCG
rnacentral:rRNA from 1 species